UCGGCCUACGGGGCGCAGCAGUCGGGAAUAUUGCGCAAUGGAGGAAACUCUGACGCAGUGACGCCGCGUAUAGGACGAAGGUCUUCGGAUUGUAAACUAUUGUCGUUAGGGAAGAGAAAGGACAGUACCUAAGGAGGAAGCUCCGGCUAACUACGUGCCAGCAGCCGCGGUAAUACGUAGGGAGCAAGCGUUAUCCGGAUUUAUUGGGUUUAAAGGGUGCGUAGGCGGUUUUUAAGUUAGUGGUUAAACGUCGGGGCUUCACCUUGAUUUGCCAUUAAUA
rnacentral:rRNA from 1 species